rnacentral:rRNA from 1 species
GUUGAUCCUGGCUCAGGAUGAACGCUGGCGGUCUGCUUAACACAUGCAAGUCGAACGCAACCUUCGGGUUGAGUGGCGGACGGGUGAGUAACGCGUGAGAAUCUGCCUUGGGGUCGGGGACAACCACUGGAAACGGUGGCUAAUACCGGAUAAGCCUUUGGGUAAAAAAUUUAUUGCCCCAAGAGGAGCUCGCGUCUGAUUAGCUAGUUGGUGAGGUAAAAGCUCACCAAGGCAGCGAUCAGUAGCUGGUCUGAGAGGACGAUCAGCCACACUGGGACUGAGACACGGCCCAGACUCCUACGGGAGGCAGCAGUGGGGAAUUUUCCGCAAUGGGCGAAAGCCUGACGGAGCAAGACCGCGCGAGGGAGGAAGGCUCUUGGGUUGUAAACCUCUUUUCUCAGGGAAGAAGCUCUGACGGUACCUGAGGAAUCAGCCUCGGCUAACUCCGUGCCAGCAGCCGCGGUAAUACGGAGGAGGCAAGCGUUAUCCGGAAUUAUUGGGCGUAAAGCGUCCGCAGGUGGCGAUUCAAGUCUGCUGUCAAAGCACGGGGCUUAACUCCGUUANAGGCAGUGGAAACUGAAUAGCUAGAGUGCCGUAGGGGUAGAGGGAAUUCCCGGUGUAGCGGUGAAAUGCGUAGAGAUCGGGAAGAACAUCGGUGGCGAAAGCGCUCUACUGGACGGCAACUGACACUCAGGGACGAAAGCUAGGGGAGCGAAAUGGGAUUAGAUACCCCAGUAGUCCUAGCUGUAAACGAUGGAUA